rnacentral:lncRNA from 1 species
AAAGACAUGUAGCUGAACUAGUGACCAAAAGCUAAUUGGAUACGUUAAACUUGAUCUAGCAUAUUUGAAUUAUCUGGAAAAUAAAUUUUAUAAUUUUUCGAUAUCAUUUACCUAGCUAGUGAUCAAAAUGACUCAAAAAUCAACGGUUGAAAAUAAAAAUCUCAUAAAAAAUUAUAAUGUAACAUUAAAAUUUUCGAUCAGAGACAUUGAUCUUGUUGUAGAUAGUAUAAAGAAUUUUCUAUAAAAGUUUCAUCUGAUUUGAAUACUUUUACACCGUUAAACUUGUAAACAGCAUACAUCAAUUAUUAGAAAUUAUUAAUUUUGAAUACUUUCAAUCACUAGAUAAAUAAUAUCAAAAAUGUGCAAAAAUUAUUUUCUAAAUACUUCAAAUACGCUAAACCAAAUCUAAAAGAGCCAAUCGUCGAUUAAGAUGUUCCAUCAUAAAAAACGACUUAAGAGCACGAAAAAUUUCAUGCUCCUAAUAGCACACAAGUACUACACUCUCUCUCUCUCUCUCUCUCUCUCUCU